rnacentral:rRNA from 1 species
AAUCAAACCCGGAGAUAUCUCGUUCUCCCCGAAAUAGCUUUAGGGCUAGCGUCGCGCGUUCACCGCCGGAGGUAGAGCACCGGAUGGACGAGGGGGCUUCGCCGCCUACCGAAUCCAACCGAACUCCGAAUGCCGGCGGCCCAGAGCGCGGCAGUCAGAGCAUGUGGGCUAAGCUGUGUGCUCGAGAGGGAAACAGCCCGGACCGCCCGCUAAGGUCCCCAAGUUCCAGCCGAGUGGCAAAGGAUGUGCGUCCGCCCAGACAACCAGGAUGUUGGCUUAGAAGCAGCCAUCCAUUCAAAGAGUGCGUAACAGCUCACUGGUCGAGUGGACAUGCGCCGACAAUACACGGGGCUAAGCUGGACACCGAAGCGGCGGGAUUUUAAUUCAUUAGAAUCGGUAGGGGAGCUUCCCAUGGGCGGAGAAGCCGGAGGGCGACCGACGGUGGAGCGCAUGGGAGUGAGAAUGCUGGCAUGAGUAGCGAGAGACGAGAGAGUAACUCGUCCGCCGUGAACCCGAGGUUUCCUGGGCAAGGCUAAUCCUCCCAGGGUCAGUCGGGGGCUAAGGCGAGGCCGGGAGGCGUAGCCGACGCGCAGCAGGCAGACAUUCCUGCACCGCGCACGCGGCGCUACGACCGACGGGGCGACGGAUGGGGGUGGCUCGGCGGGGUUCUGGACGUCCCCGUGAUGGAGCGCGGCCCGCGGACCAGGGAAAUCCGGUCCGCACGAGGGCGAGGCUCCGGACGAAGCACUUAAGCGAAGCGAGUGAGCCCGAGGUCCCUAGAAAAACCCCUAGGCAGGCGCGUGCGCGCCCGUACCGCAAACCGACACAGGUGGGUGGGUAGAACAUACCGAGGCGAUCGGGUCAACCAUGGUCAAGGAACUCGGCACAAUGGCCCCGUAACUUCGGGAGAAGGGGUGCCCGCGCGUACGUGAACCGGCUUGCCCGGGGAGCGGAGGCGGGCCGCAGUGGAGAGGCCCAAGCGACUGUUUACCAAAAACACAGGACUCUGCAGAAGCCGCAAGGCGACGUAUAGGGUCUGACGCCUGCCCGGUGCCGGAAGGUCACGCGGAGGAGUUAGCCGUCUCGGCGAAGCCCCGAAGCCAAGCCCCGGUAAACGGCGGCCGUAACUAUAACGGUCCUAAGGUAGCGAAAUUCCUUGUCGGGUAAGUUCCGACCUGCACGAAAGGCGCAACGACUUGGGCGCUGUCUCGACCAUGGACCCGGUGAAAUUGCACUGGUCGUGAAGAUGCGACUUACCCGCGGAAGGACGGAAAGACCCCGUGAACCUUCACUGCAGCUUGGCAUUGGCCGCUGGUCCCGCGUGUAGAGGAUAGGCAGGAGGCACAGAUCCGGAGGCGCCAGCCCCCGGGGAGCCGCCCUUGGAAUACUGCCCUCGCGCGACCGGCGUCCUAACCCGAGGCCGUCAACCGGCUCGGGGACCGUGCCAGGCGGGCAGUUUGACUGGGGCGGUCGCCUCCUAAAGGGUAACGGAGGCGCGCGAAGGUCCGCUCGGGACGGUCGGCAACCGUCCUUUUGAAUGCAAGAGUACAAGCGGGCUUGACUGCGAGGCCCACAAGCCGAGCAGGUGCGAAAGCAGGCUCUAGUGAUCCGGCGGCCCCGAGUGGGUGGGCCGUCGCUCAACGGAUAAAAGGUACUCCGGGGAUAACAGGCUGAUCUUGCCCAAGAGUCCACAUCGACGGCAAGGUUUGGCACCUCGAUGUCGGCUCAUCGCAUCCUGGGGCUGGAGCAGGUCCCAAGGGUACGGCUGUUCGCCGUUUAAAGCGGUACGCGAGCUGGGUUCAGAACGUCGUGAGACAGUUCGGUCCCUAUCCUCCGCGGGCGCAGGAGAAUUGAGGAGGGCUGCCCCUAGUACGAGAGGACCGGGGCGGACGGGCCUCUGGUGUCCCGGUUGUCGACCAACGGCACGGCCGGCUAGCCACGCCCGGAACGGAUAACCGCUGAAGGCAUCUAAGCGGGAAGCCGUCUCCGAGAUGAGUUCUCCCUUCGGUAAGCCCCCAUGUAGAACACGUGGUCGAUAGGCCGCAGCUGCAAGCGCCGCGAGGCGUUCAGGCGAGCGGUACUAAUAGGGCGAGCCCUUGCACC